rnacentral:tRNA from 1 species
GGGGGUGGAGGGGGCCUGGUGGCUCCCGCGGUCUUCAAAACCGUUGCGGGGCGCCUCGCGUCCUGGGUGGGUUCGAUUCCCAUACACUCCCGCCA